rnacentral:rRNA from 1 species
AGUGGCGGACGGGUGAGUAACGCGUAAGAAUCUAACUUCAGGACGGGGACAACAGUGGGAAACGACUGCUAAUACCCGAUGUGCCGCAAGGUGAAACCUAAUUGGCCUGGAGAAGAGCUUGCGUCUGAUUAGCUAGUUGGUGGGGUAAAGGCCUACCAAGGCGACGAUCAGUAGCUGGUCUGAGAGGAUGAGCAGCCGCACUGGGACUGAGACACGGCCCAGACUCCUACGGGAGGCAGCAGUGGGGAAUUUUCCGCAAUGGGCGAAAGCCUGACGGAGCAACGCCGCGUGAGGGAGGAAGGUCUUUGGAUUGUAAACCUCUUUUCUCAAGGAAGAAGUUCUGACGGUACUUGAGGAAUCAGCCUCGGCUAACUCCGUGCCAGCAGCCGCGGUAAUACGGGGGAGGCAAGCGUUAUCCGGAAUUAUUGGGCGUAAAGCGUCCGCAGGUGGUCAGCCAAGUCUGCCGUCAAAUCAGGUUGCUUAACGACCUAAAGGCGGUGGAAACUGGCAGACUAGAGAGCAGUAGGGGUAGCAGGAAUUCCCAGUGUAGCGGUGAAAUGCGUAGAGAUUGGGAAGAACAUCGGUGGCGAAAGCGUGCUACUGGGCUGUAUCUGACACUCAGGGACGAAAGCUAGGGGAGCGAAAGGGAUUAGAUACCCCUGUAGUCCUAGCCGUAAACGAUGGAUACUAGGCGUGGCUU